GUCUCGUGACGUAAUGACGUAUUUAUUUUAUGCGGGAAGCAGGCUGUUUCCAGGAAGAGCGAGAGGGACGUUGCCGCAGGAGACAACUACUAAAGCCGUGGGUCGUCGUGCGAGAGUGUUUAAGUGGGAUUUAUCUGCGGAAUUGGACAUGUUGGAUGGCGAGCUAGAGCCUGAACUAGAGUCUGAAGCUUUAUGCCUGGAACCGAACCAACCGAACUGAAUCCACCCAACCGAGCCCCGGGUCGGGUAGGAGGCUCCUCAGCAGCCGCUCUGUUUUUUCCCUUCGGUUUUCCAUAACGCAACGUGUUCAUUUCUGUCCUCCUGCACUUUCAUAUUUACCCCGUUACCUUCACUAAAACCCCUCUGGACACUCUGUUGCGCUUAUACCAUCUUUGGUAAAAACAAGGACUGAAUCACAUUGUAAAUAUUGAACGUUUUGUAAUUUAUGUUGAAAAUGUGAAUGGCCAUUCGAAUUUACAUGUCUGUUUGUUGUUUAUUUUUCCUAUAAUUCUUUAAUAUAAUUUGGUACCAUUUAA